UUUAGGGUAAACGGAAACCUCGAAAACUCAUUUGUGAGCAGAUCUGAGCUGGAUGGCAAACAUCAGAGACAAACCUGGUGGGUGAUGAAACACAAGGACACACACAAUGCGGCGUUGAGGAGGCAGGGUUGUGUGGUCUAGCGAGCUGUCUGAAAGAAAAGAAACUGGUGGAACUUGAGCACAUCCCUCGAAUGUUCCAGUCUCCUCGCUAUCCUUGGAAAAGUUUUUGGCGAAGUUGUAAAAGGAAGCAGAUGCCAGAUGUGCACGCCAUAUGCUGGGGGUCUUAAAUUAAGCCCUUUUCACUGGUUUGGUUUUUAUUGUUUUUUGAUGUGUAAAGUCUUGUAAAUGUUCCUUUCUAUUAGGUCACAGCAAUCAACUCGAAAUGAACUUGACUGUAGUUGGAUGAGACAAUACUGCAUGAAAUGAGUAGUAAUGUAGUUCAGUGUUAAUUCAAUACAACUAUUCAUGUUAAACUCAAACUCAUCAGUGAAAGAUUUCUAGCACUGGUUUGCUUAAUUCUGCCAAAAAAAAAGUAAAGCAAUAAAUCAGAGGCUGGAACUUUAUAGAUUAAAAACAAGAUUAUGGUGAGCGAGAAUCGACUGCUCAGAUUGGGUUCGAUUUAUAUCUACUGCUUGUCGUCAGAGGAGUAGGCCUGAAUCUACGCACGCGUGGAUGUUUUACAUCCCCUUCUGUCCACUGUGGCUCCUUCACUCGGGAUAAGGCAGGGCGAUAACAGUCUUGUAGGCAGUGGGGAAUAAUGAAAAAACAAACAAAACAAAAACCGGCUCAAAACGUCUGGCAACGCUGCCUGAAGCUCCUCUCCUUCUGCGCUCCGUAUCCCAAAAUGACUUCUGACCCUGCAGUCAGAGUGACUUCUGACCCUGCAGUCAGAGGUCAUUUGGGGUCAUCUUGGAGAAGGAACCUCUGACAGGCCCUCUACCAAAAUCUGGAAUGUAAAGCAUGUAAUGCAUCAUUGCUAAGAUCCUGAGAUUCAGUGUUAUCAGGCGUAAAACCGACCUAAGCAUUUAAAUGCAAUAUAAGGAUUGUCUUGUCAGUACAUUUGACUUAAAUGUGUUGCAGACUACUUAAAGCAUAUUGUUGUACUUUGAUUAUCUAUGAAUGUAUAUAAGAGUACAGAAAGAGAUGGAUAAUAAACAUUUUAAUUCUACUGGUGAAAAGUACAAAUAAAUCUUCAGGAUGUGUGAUUUCAAUUUCUGUGUCCACAGAGAGCCCGGGAUAUGAAAUAUGCUGCCUGUGUCUCUGCCCUGUGGGUCACAUUCAUCUGUUAAAGGAUGAAUUAUUUUUUUUCUCCUUCAUCUCUUUUGUUUGGGUCUGCACUCGGGAUAGGCUGACCACUAUUACAGCACACAGCCACAGCUCAGUUGACCCUGAAAGAGCGAGCUUCACCUCACUAUGGCUUUGCGGUCAACCCAUUUUCGACCCGAGUGUUACAGCCUGCCUAAUGCUGCGCUCAUGAACCAAAACAAUUCCACUUAAUUCGUUUCUUUCAUAGUUGAAAAAACUUGUACGGCUUCAUGUCGCUGCAAGGUCGGAUAAUAAAAAUCAGAACAGAAGACCUUCAACAAGAUCGAGGCAGCUUCAAUCAAGAAGCUUUCGAUGGCAGCCAUUCACUCUAUAACUUUUGUAUUUUCUUGACUGGUAAUCCUGUUGGAAAACGUGCCGGCCAUAUAGCUGCUCAGAGCUCUGGUUCCACACCUACCCCAUUCCCAUCCAUGACGUCCUGCAGCCUGCUCUAUGUGCCACCGUGCCGUUGAGACUCACUCGGUCACAAUCUCGACAGCUCCCAUCUAAACAAUGCUGUCGUCAUUUGUC